GAGACAGAGAUAGAGAGGAAAGAUAUAUAACUACUGCAAGAUAACACGGACGCAGACGCGUCAAGUAUUCAGCAUCGAAAGAUAGAAAGAGAAAGAAAGAAAGAAAGAGAGAUAAAAAGUCUCGACUGUAGUCUCGAUGAGGAAACAAAAAAAAGGAAGACUGUGAUGACUUCGUCCUCUUUGUCGACCGCAAAUAGAUAUCCUAUUUUCAGCAUCUCUCUUUUGGUGUGAGCGUGUCAAAUUCAUGAAAAGAAAAAAAAAAAAAAAGCAAAAAAAAAACAUUAAUAUGCACAUAUUAUGAUUCAACAAUCGUCGAUCAUUAAAUAUUUUUCUUUGUUUGUUUCUCUUUUUCUUUUUUAUUUGUCCGAUCUAUCAUAACGAGAAUUGAUACUUAAUUUCAAGUUUUGUUCAGUUUCGUUUAUUUGAUCAUCUCUUAUAACAACCAAUAACAACAACAACGCAACAUCAAAAGGGGAUAUAUAGAAUAUGUCUAUAAAUUCAUCGAAACGUACGGGGAAAGAUAACCUCACGAAACCGGCAAUACAGUCUCAACUGGCCAGAUUAAAAAGAGAGGAAGAAGAAGAAUUAUGGAUAUCAGGAGAAGAACUUUGUACGGAAGGAAGCAGCGAUGAGGAAGAUAGCAAAACAUGUUCUAGAUCAUUCUGUAGAACAAAUAAGAAUCAUGAUCCGCGUAAUUCGUCGGCCACCGGUAGACAUCAUUGGAUUGUAUCGGAUAAUACAAAAGAAAUGUCCGAACGAUCGAGUAGCAAUUCCGAAGGAAAUAUGUCUUCGAUAGAAAUAACAAAUUCUUUGAAAAUGGAUACAUCAAAUACACGAUCGAAUUCUUCGAUAGAUUUGGAAAUGAAUGACGUUUCAAUGGCGGACGAUACGUGUUCGGAUGUGAUACAAGAUGAGGAAGGACAAGGCCUUAAAGACUCUGAAAUAUCGUGGAAGGUUAACAGAGGUACCAUCAGGUUACUUAAUACAGGUGCUAACGCUGCUACUAUGGAACCCGAUAGACCGUAACAAUGGAUUUUUCAUCGGAGAUAGUAUUUCUUAGAAUUUAAUCUUGUCAACAAUCUUUUAUGUACUUUUCGUCAUCUUUUUGCGUUUUAAUUACGACGAUAUUCGUCGUUGUAGUUCUUUCGAAUGUAAUUCAAAUCUUUCCCACGAUAAAAUCGUGACGUAAUCGAAGACUGAUUUCUCUGAAUUUUGAUUGGACGAUUUAAGUUAGUAUGGCUCAAUCAAAAUACGUAAGAUCUUAAGUACGUCAUGAUUUCUGAUUUUUAUUAUAUUUGGCUUCGUAUCGUUUCUUAGUUUUUCUUUGUAAAUACAAAUGUUAGUUUUGAAUUUAUUACUGGUUCGAUAAUAGAUAGAUCGACGAAAGAAACCUGGCAAGAAGAUACAACUGAACUGAAGGAAUUAACGCUAUUAGGUUAUCAGCGAGAAUUUUUCACGCGUUUACGAGGUCUUCAAAUUGAAGAUAAUCAUGAAAAUAACGGUAACACAUAUCUGAGAAAUGAUCUUAAUAAAUGCGAAUUGAAAAACUUAAGUACGAUGAACGAGGAGUUGGAAAAACAAAUAUCGAAGGUAAAGAGUUUGGAUACUGCUAUCAAAAAAUUUGAUAAUAAUGUAGAGGUAAAUAUAUUCUGCAAGUUCGAAUAUAUAUAUAUAUUAAAUGACGAUCGUGUCUAAUUUAUUCACUUUAAUAAGUAAAUCGUAGAGAAAACAAAGUAUAUUUAAGAUGAUUCUUAACACAGAAAGAGAUGAAAGAAACUUUGUUAUGUCAAUAUAAAAAUCGUGAAAAAUUGAAAGAGAUAUUAGAGAAUGUACCGCUUGAAACUGGAAAAUUAGCUGAAAAUACACAACAAUUUUUUAAUUUAUACAAUGAAUGUACUGAUAUAUCUGCACUUACAGAUGUACAUGGAAAAAUUAAACAAUACAAUACGCAUAACAUUGAAAUUUCGCAUAAUCAACAAAUGUUAAUAAAAGAAGAAGUAAAUACAAUAAAAAAUAUACACGAACAAUUAUUAGAAACAAAGAAGAAA